GUUUUAAUAAUUUAAAUAAAAUAUUGAUCUUGUAAAUCAAAAUUAAGGCAUCCUUUUAAAACU
rnacentral:tRNA from 1 species